rnacentral:rRNA from 1 species
UGAGCGUGGCUCAGGAUGAACGCUGGCGGUCUGCUUACACAUGCCAUGUCGAACGGGCUCUUCGGAGCUAGUGGCGGACGGGUGAGUAACGCGUGAGAAUCUGCCUUCAGGAGGGGGAUAACGACUGGAAACGGUCGCUAAUACCCCAUAUGCCUCCGGGUGAAAAGUAAUUCGCCUGAAGAUGAGCUCGCGUCAGAUUAGCUAGUUGGUGGGGUAAGAGCCUACCANAUGCGACGAUCUGUAGCUGGCCUGAGAGGAUGAUCAGCCACACUGGGACUGAGACACGGCCCAGACUCCUACGGGAGGCAGCAGUGGGGAAUUCUCCGCAAUGGGCGCAAGCCUGACGGAGCAAGACCGCGUGGGGGAUGACGGCCUAAUGGUUGUAAACCCCUUUGCUCUGGGAAGAAGACUGACGGUACCAGAGGAAUCAGCCUCGGCUAACUCCGUGCCAGCAGCCGCGGUAAUACGGAGGAGGCAAGCGUUAUCCGGAAUUAUUGGGCGUAAAGCGUCCGUAGGUGGUUAUACAAGUCUGCUGUCAAAGCGUGGGGCUUAACUCCAUAGAGGCAGUGGAAAGUGAGUGACUAGAGUGC